CCUGGAAUCGUCUAGUGGUUAGGACACCAGGUUCUGAUCGUACGUGGCCGAUUGAGGAAGAUUUCCUGGUAACCUGGGUUCAAACCCCAGUUCCAGGU
rnacentral:tRNA from 1 species